AUUGAACGCUGGCGGCAUGCCUUACACAUGCAAGUCGAACGGCAGCACGGGUGCUUGCACCUGGUGGCGAGUGGCGAACGGGUGAGUAAUACAUCGGAACAUGUCCUGUAGUGGGGGAUAGCCCGGCGAAAGCAGGAUUAAUACCGCAUACGAUCUACGGAUGAAAGCGGGGGACCUUCGGGCCUCGCGCUAUAGGGUUGGCCGAUGGCUGAUUAGCUAGUUGGUGGGGUAAAGGCCUACCAAGGCGACGAUCAGUAGCUGGUCUGAGAGGACGACCAGCCACACUGGGACUGAGACACGGCCCAGACUCCUACGGGAGGCAGCAGUGGGGAAUUUUGGACAAUGGGCGAAAGCCUGAUCCAGCAAUGCCGCGUGUGUGAAGAAGGCCUUCGGGUUGUAAAGCACUUUUGUCCGGAAAGAAAUCCUUGGCUCUAAUACAGUCGGGGGAUGACGGUACCGGAAGAAUAAGCACCGGCUAACUACGUG
rnacentral:rRNA from 1 species